rnacentral:rRNA from 1 species
AUGGCGGGCGGUGGGCUGUCCGGCGGCGCGGCCGCGUUCUGGGCGACAAGAGCGCUGGAGGUGGUGAAGCGGAACGACUCCCCGGGGCUGUUGUGGAAGCGGAUCAAGCUCACCACCACCCGCAAGAACAACGCCAAGAAACGCCUAAAGCGCCUCUGGCAGAACGAAGCAGUUAUAAGGGCUUCUGCUCAAGCAGAAUCAUCGUCAACUUCAAGCACGGCUGCCGCAUCUGAGAAACAGCAGUAG